UUUCAGUCGUCAGGCUAACUUGGUGUUUCACAUGAGAGCGCACACAGGUGAGAAGUCGUCAUCCUGAAACAUCUAUGGAAAACGUAAUUUAAACAGGUUGAAAGUUUUACAGCAGCUUCUGACUGUGCUUCAACAAUAAUUGUGAGGAAAUAUGUCAGCAGUCCUUGAUGAUUAGACCAGAUGGAGUCUGGACUGUGAUGGUGGUAGAGCUCGGAGAAGAACCAGGCUGAACAUCUGGAUAAAUGUAGUACUGGUACAGGCUGCUAUAUUUUUGGUAUCAUACUUCAUCCUUCAUCAGCACAGCAGUGAUGUGAGAUAUUGUGAAGCUGUUACAUACAGUCAAGACAGUCAUAGUGUUUCGUUCCACAGCCAUUGUUACAUCUUUAAAUGUCAUUAAUCUAAUUUCUUCAUCAGCAAAAUGUCACAUACAUAGCAGCAAAUUCCCCAAACAGAAACCACCUUUACUGAUUUAAUGUGUGAUUUAAAAUGUGAUCUCCACAGGCUGUAAUGCUGUACAGGUCAGACUGUGUGAAAACUACAGCCGUCUGUCAUGAACUUAAUCUGUCAUCUGUUUGUUCCUCAUCAGUGAUUUAUUUCUUGAUGGAUUAUUGGAAAUGCUAAACUUGUUUUAAACUCCAUAUUGAUUGUAAAUAAAAUUUUAAAAAACUC